AUACGUAGGGGGCGAGCGUUGUCCGGAAUGAUUGGGCGUAAAGGGCGCGUAGGCGGCCCGGUAAGUCUGGAGUGAAAGUCCUGUUUUUAAGAUGGGAAUUGCUUUGGAUACUGUCGGGCUUGAGUGCAGGAGAGGUAAGUGGAAUUCCCAGUGUAGCGGUGAAAUGCGUAGAGAUUGGGAGGAACACCAGUGGCGAAGGCGACUUACUGGACUGUAACUGACGCUGAGGCGCGAAAGUGUGGGGAGAAAACAGGAUUAGAUACCCUGGUAGUCCACACUGUAAACGAUGAAUGCUAGGUGUAGGGGGUAUCGACCCCUUCUGUGCCGCAGGCAACACAAUAAGCAUUCCGCCUGGGGAGUACGGCCGCAAGGUUGAAACUGAAAUGAAUUGACGGGG
rnacentral:rRNA from 1 species